UACGGAGGAUGCGAGCGUUAUCCGGAUUUACUGGGUUUAAAGGGUGCGCAGGCGGUUGUUUAAGUCAGGGGUGAAAGCCCUAUGCUCAACAUAGGGAUUGCCUUUGAUACUGAACGGCUAGAGUGAAGAUGGAGUGGGUGGAAUGUGUUGUGUAGCGGUGAAAUGCAUAGAUAUAACACAGAACACCGAUCGCGAAGGCAGCUCACUAAUUUUCAACUGACGCUCAUGCACGCAAGCGUGGGGAUCAAACAGG
rnacentral:rRNA from 1 species